GUGUAUAUGAAAUUUUUUUCUCUUUUACCACACAUGAUACGUUGCCAGAAACCAACCAUUCUAGCUUUAAUAAGAAUAUGUAAUGGUAUUCUACCCAAUUCUCCAUAAAUCAUACAAUGAGCAGUACUUUUUUUAACCUUCAAAAUUUAUUUUACAAAAUUGCAUAUGCAAGUUUUCUAUAAUAUUACAAUUUUCAAAACCCCAUACUUCUGCACCAUAUAACAAAAUAGGUACAACCAUUGUAUCAAAUAGCUCUAAUUGCAUAUCAAUUGGUAAAUUCAACUUCCUAGCCUUUCUUAAGACUAUAAACAUGGCUUUUCUUGCUUGCUGUACAAGAUGUGCUUUGGCGUCAUUAAAAUUAC
rnacentral:lncRNA from 1 species